UAUAUGUUACCCUAAAUACAUAAUAAACUUUUUUAUAUACCAUUCACUUUUAAUCUUACCCAUUCCCCUAUAUUCCUCCCUUUUCAGUACUCUUCCAUCCAUGCAACUACAAUCUUCGACCACUCACCAAAAAUAAAACAUUGUGGAAUAAAAGUAGCUAAUUGAUGAGUGAUAUUCUUAUCACUCAAAUACCUUAUUUUUCUCCUGUUUACAAUAAUUUUUCCUCUUCCUUCAUCAUUUUCUAACUUAUUUUGCUUAAUUUAAUUUAAUUGAGUUACUUAUAACUUAUUUGUGAAUAUUAGUUAUUUUGAUUGUUUAUAUAGGGUUUAGUAAUGCUUAUUUGUGUUUUACAUUGUAGGAUCAACCAUAGAGGUCUCCAUAUACCACACACCAAGCAUGGAGUGGAGCAAUUUGGGAUAAAUAAGAGCUUUUAGAAGGAUUUGUGUACAAGGGUCAAAUUCAAAUGGUCAUAACUUUUAGUGCAGUAAAUAUUCUUUAGUGAUUCAAGUUAAAUAUUACACUUUGACUCGAUAUCUUUUCAACGAGUGGUCACAACCCCGAUCCUAAUGAAAAAUGAAAGAAACAUAGAUGUUUGAAGUCAGGCACGUAUGCCAGAACGAGCGCACGCUACAUAUUGUUUGGAUCACACGCUCCAAAAGCCCAUAUACCUUCUUCCUGCUCGAAACUGUAUGGAGUGCCUGCUCCACUUUUCCCAUUCGAAAAUCAGGUGGUGGUGGAUAAGAUAGAGUAGUGAAGCUCAGUACAAGAAUGAAUAGCAAUUGCGACCAACCUUAACGACCGUGCGGAAAUCCGGUCGUAAAAAAGUAGCAAUUACAACGAGUUUUGAAAGCUGUCGUAGAUAUUAAGGUUUUUUUGCGACGAGUCUUAAAUCUGGUGGUAAACGGUUAAACCUGAUCGUAAAAAGUUCGAUUUUGUGCGAAAAAACUAGAGCGGGAGCUUUCCCGAUUUCUUAAUACUUUUAACGUCCAUAUAGUUAGUAAGUACAACCGAACCAACUGUUGUAAAAGACUAUUAAGUUACAAAAAUAUUAUUAGUUUGGGGAUGUUGUAAAAGACUAUUAAAGUUACAAAAAUAUUAUUAGUUUGUGAAUCCCCAAAAUAUUGAAAAAACCCUAGACUCUUCCAUUUCGGUUUCUUCGAGCUUCUUCACUCACGAAGUCCUCUGUUCAUCCGAAUUCCUCCAAUUGGUGAAUCGUUUGUUCAGAUUAUCUGGGGCUUAGCAGCGAGGCGACUCGUGAUUGGGCAAAACUAAUAAUAGCAAUGACAUGUGGAGGAGAUCCUUACGUGAAGCUUGAGUUUGAAUGAUAUGGACUAACAUUGCGGGUUAUGACAUUUUCUACAAUGUGGAAGAACUACAAUAGUUAUGGUUUUUUAGCUUGUGAAACUUUUGACAUAUUCUCUAGACUUGUUUAUCGUAUUGAACCGUUGGCUAAGAUUGUAGAUACUUUUUUAUUGAGUACUUGUGUUUGGACAUCUAUGUACUUAUGAAUUAUGUUUUA